AGCGUGUGUAAUAGGGAAAAAGGCACAAUCAUGGUAUUUACAACUAAUUGAUCACAACCAGUUACAGAUUCCUUUGUUCCUUCUCCACUCCCACUGCUUCACUUGACCAGCCUCAA
rnacentral:sRNA from 1 species